CUGACGUUGUAAUUACGACUUGUCAACUCGUAAGUACGAACUUCCCAGGAGGACUUGAACGCAGCAUGAGUGGUGUUUACCAGGUUACCAGUUCAGAUGGUUGCUACAGUGUUUUGGUAGUCUCUGGAGUUUAUUGCGGGGUUGCUAGGGUGUUUUGGGUAGUUCCUCGGUUCUGUUCAGUGGUUGCUAGGGGUUUUAGAUGGUUGCAAGGGUGUUUUGGGUAGUUGCUUGGUUCUACUUGGGUUUCUAGGGUCAUUUGGUUGGUUGAUAGGAUCUUCUAGGUGGCAAUACUUACUGCUAGUGGUUUCAGCACAGCACCAUGAGCACUACUAUUAGUGAUGACUCACACACUAACUAACAUUACUAAUGAAACUCACUUUGAGCCACUGGAGCACCGGAGAUGUAAAAUAGUUAAAAAUACCAGUCAGAAAAGAGUUAUGGUGUAAUCAUGUUUAAGAUCUCAGAAUAUCUCUGUUUUCAUCUGAAUUUGAUGAAUACUGAUAUUUCAGCUGAUGAUUCUUCAAUGAUCUGAAACAAUGAUGAGCAGAAAAACCACAAGCCAGACCGAGUUACAGCUGUGAAACCCUAAACCAGUACAGUGUGUGUGUCUGUGUGAUACUGCAUGUGCAGUGCCAUUUUAGUUGCUUAAUUUCCUCAGAAAUCUCCUGUUAACAGGCCCGAAAGAACACAGAUCAGUUUGGCUGUAUGUGCUGCUCUCUGAUUGGUUGGCAGUGUUCCGUCCACCAAUCAGGACGACUCAGAUGUGCUGUCAGUGGUGACCUCUGCAUCUUGAGUCCCGACUGUGACCUGUACCUGUGUGACGGAGACGACGACCAAAGCUCCGACAGUCAGGGUGACAAUUCCGUGUACAGCAGCUCUGCCGGAACAGAGGAAUACUCCAGCCUGCUUCAUCAUCCUUCAUCCUGCCAUAGAAUGACCCGCUUGGAUCCGCCACCGCACCGGGCGAGCCCCCGAGGAUGGACGGAGGUGUCUCAGAGUCGCCGUGAUGGUUUUGGGCAGUUCAGUUUUUCUCACGGUGAGGAAAACACCAAUAUCCAGUUACCAGUCGAGCAGCUUGUGGUGUUGUUUG
rnacentral:lncRNA from 1 species